rnacentral:rRNA from 1 species
GAUGAACGCUAGCGGCAGGCCUAACACAUGCAAGUCGAGGGGCAUCAUGGCGUAGCAAUACGCUGAUGGCGACCGGCGCACGGGUGCGUAACGCGUAUGGAACCUACCCACCGCAGGGGGAUAACCCGCCGAAAGGCGGACUAAUACCCCAUGGUUCCCCGACCCUGCCUGGGGUUGGGGGUAAAGCCUACGGGCGGCGGUGGAUGGCCCUGCGUGCCAUUAGCUGGCUGGUGGGGUAACGGCCCACCAGGGCGACGAUGGCUAGGGGGUCUGAGAGGACGAUCCCCCACACUGGUACUGAGACACGGACCAGACUCCUACGGGAGGCAGCAGUGGGGAAUAUUGGACAAUGGAUGGAAAUCUGAUCCAGCCAUGCCGCGUGCAGGAAGACAGCCCUAUGGGUUGUAAACUGCUUUUAUAUGGGAGCAAUAAGGUCUACGUGUAGACUGAUGAGAGUACCAUAUGAAUAAGCAUCGGCUAACUCCGUGCCAGCAGCCG